CCUACGGGUGGCAGCAGUCGAGAAUCUUCGGCAAUGGGCGCAAGCCUGACCGAGCGACGCCGCGUGCGGGAUGAAGGCCUUCGGGUUGUAAACCGCUGUCGGAGGGGAGGAAAUGCGAGGGGGUACUCCCCCUUGUUUGACCUAUCCUCGGAGGAAGUACGGGCUAAGUUCGUGCCAGCAGCCGCGGUAAGACGAACCGUACAAACGACAUUCGGAAUUACUGGGCUUGAAGGGUGCGUAGGCUGUGCGUGAAAUCCUCCAGCUCAACUGGGGAACUGCGCUAAAAACUACCGUGCUUGAGGAAGAUAGAGGUGAGCGGAACUUAGGGUGGAGCGGUGAAAUGCGUUGAUAUCCUAAGGAACACCGGUGGCGAAAGCGGCUCACUGGAUCUUUUCUGACGCUGAGGCACGAAAGCUAGGGGAGCAAACGGGAUUAGAUACCCUAGUAGUC
rnacentral:rRNA from 1 species